UACAGAGGGUGCAAGCGUUAAUCGGAAUUACUGGGCGUAAAGCGCGCGUAGGUGGUUGUAGUAGUGAUGAUACCGGCCGUCUAACCUGGGAACUGCAUUCAAAACUGCACGGCUAGAGUACGGGAGAGGGGGGUAGAAUUCCAGGUGUAGCGGUGAAAUGCGUAGAGAUCUGGAGGAAUACCGAUGGCGAAGGCAGCCCCCUGG
rnacentral:rRNA from 1 species